rnacentral:rRNA from 1 species
UACGUAGGGUGCGAGCGUUGUCCGGAAUUACUGGGCGUAAAGAGCUCGUAGGUGGUUUGUCGCGUUGUUCGUGAAAACUCACAGCUCAACUGUGGGCGUGCGGGCGAUACGGGCAGACUGGAGUACUGCAGGGGAGACUGGAAUUCCUGGUGUAGCGGUGAAAUGCGCAGAUAUCAGGAGGAACACCGGUGGCGAAGGCGGGUUGCUGGGCUGAUGACUGACGCUGAGGUGCGAAAGCGUGGGGAGCAAACAGG